AAAUGUUUGACAUAAUCCUGGACGAGAACCAAUUGGAAGAUGCCUGCGAGCACCUGGCGGAGUACUUGGAAGCCUACUGGAAGGCCACACACCCGCCUAGCAGCACGCCACCCAAUCCGCUGCUGAACCGCACCAUGGCUACCGCCGCUCUGGCUGCCAGCCCUGCCCCCGUCUCCAACCUCCAGGUACAGGUGCUCACCUCGCUCAGGAGAAAUCUCAGCUUCUGGGGCGGGCUGGAGGCCUCACCGCGGGGAGGCGACGCAGUGGCCCAGCCUCAGGAGCACGCCAUGUAGCCGAUGUCCCUCCGGUUUUUCCUCCCACCCUGGAGUGCAGGGCACGUGAGGAAGGAAGGGAAGAGCUUUAUUUUGUAAAAAACGUGGUGAGCGGCAGCAUCUGGUGUCUGUGGUUUUUGGUGGGACUGGGGGCUGGCUGGUGCUGCCUCCCUGGACCUGGUCCCUUAGGACUGCAUCUGCUGUCUGUUGGACUUGAGGACCUCUUUUAAGUCCAGGUACUAGGAGGAAAAUCUGAGGACGAACAAUAGGCUUGUCCGCUGGACUCCACGCCUUUUUCUUUUUGUUGUUGUUGGUUUGUUGUUGGCUUUUUGGAAACACAGUUUCAUUCUGGCAGU
rnacentral:lncRNA from 1 species